GUGCUCACUUUGGCAGCACAUAUACUAAAAUUGGAACGAUACAGAGAAGAUUAGCAUGGCCCCUGCACAAGGAUGACAUGCAAAUUUGUGAAGUGUUCCAUAUGUUU
ensembl:snRNA U6 U6 spliceosomal RNA